GAAACAUCUAUGAAAUGCAUAAUAUUAGUACUUGAAGAUAUAGAACGCGGAGUGUAUUUAAUUUUGCGUUUGGUAUUUAACAUGUCGUAUGAUUCUAAAUAUAGUGGCUACGAAUUUGGCGCAACUGCCUUCGUUUCCUUAGCCCUCAUAGCAAUGUUUACACUGCUCCUAAUACUAUUUGAAGUAGUACAACGCAAACAACAAAGAUUAUUAAAAGAAGGUUACUAUUUCGUCGAGGAAUAUGUAACAAUAAGGCGUACAAGGUUAAUACCGGUACCCCCGUCCAAUAUUGAUGCCUCUGAUCCCAAUCAUCCUCGAGUAAUAAAUCCUGCGUUACUUGAUCGAACUGGCUGCAUAUGUUGUGCAUAACACUUUUUGUAUUAGAAUUAUUUAUCGUGUACUGAACAAUAAAUAAAUGUAUGAAAGUGAGGUUGUAUUUAAAAUUCUUUGGCGGUGACGCAGUAUCAAACAUUGUGGAGACGUGCAGACGCAAUCGAUGCAAUACCAAAGUGCAGUAUAAAGUGACGCAGUAAAGAAAACAAAAAUUGAAUUGUGACCAAAUUGGCACCGAUCGGUAAAAAGUAUUAACAAAUCAGAAAUUACACAAGUGUUUUUCAAAGUAUUGUUUAACUGCGUCAUACUUCCGGACUAACCAGAUAGUAGAUAAAAAUACCUGGUGUUAUUCGUUAAUACGAAACAAUGUUUCGCGUUUUUAGCAACUCAGAUGCUGCCAUUUGUGGCGCAAUAGCCAUUGCUGAAGUUAUAUGCGUGUUAACGUACGUCAUUGUAUCAAGUAUAAGAUUUCGAAAAAAAAUUGUUGCAAUGGGGCGAUUAAUCCCAGUUCAAGUGAUACUGCUUGGAGGGGCAGUUCCAGUAAGCCAGGCCGAUCCAACAAACCAAUAUCAAACACCUCCCCCAGGUUUCUAUCCACCUCAACAACCACCCCCACAGUCAGGUUUUUACCCUCCGCCGUAUGAACAAACGCUAAAUCCUAACUUGCCACUUAAUAAAUAAAUUUAUUCGUAAUCGUUCAAAUAUAUACAGUAACCAAAUAAAGCCUUUAAUUCGAAGAAGUUGACUCACUUUUAAGCGGCCCAAAAGCAGCAUACUCCACACACCUGGACGGGUCAGUGGGGUAGUAUUCCUGACACUUGGUCAUCAAUCUCUUCAACCCUUGAAUGUACUUCCUUUGAGUUUCAUCGUUCAUCACGUGAGCCACGUUUUUCGAAAAGAUUUUUUCGCGCCCUGUACGAGCGUGGAUGCCCACCAUGGUCACACCAAUGGGCCAUGGCGCGUUCCCGAUGGCCAUUUGCAAAUAUGCAUCGCUUGCCUGUUAAAAUUAAUUUAAUAAAAUUGAACCAACUUAAACUUUCUUACUUUGAGGUAAUUCCUGUUCAUUAGAUGAACCACAAUUUCUGUUAAACUGUCCGAAAUGUCCUCAGGCAAUGUGAAAGAUUUUAGUUUCCGCAGAAGCGGUUUCAGGUAUUGCUGGGUUUGCGUGUAUGUGGCGAGCGCCAAUUUUCCCUUGGUUCCGCGUUUUUCCUCAGCCGGACGGUUCUGCAUUUGUUCGUUCCAUAAUUUGAGAAUGAACUAAAAAAUACUGUACUUUAGUGCCGAAAAGUAAUUAAUUACUUUCAUGUCCGCAAUAUUCUUUGUCAGGGUUGCAGGCAAUAAUUAACGUAGUAGGUGUUUAAUUUUUCUUUGCUUUAGAAUCCUCCAAGGCAUUAUUUUUUAUUGCUUUAGUGUUCAUUUGUGUUUGCAUAAUAGUUUGAACCACUUUUUUAUAAAUAUACGAGUCAUGGAACUAAUUAAAUCAUAGAUUUGAUAAGAUACGUGCUUUUAUCUCGCAUUGUUUGCGUGGUGGUUAACUCUAAACACACAAAAUGGCAGAAGACGACGCACCUAUCCCUUUAAUAAUUGUAGUUGUGGUAUUUUAUGUUGCUGGUUUUGUGAUCGCCUUGUAUAUCCGUAUGUCAAAAAUUGUGUUAAUCCGCAAAAUCAAAGAAACUGGUCGAGUCAUUUCGCUCUCGCAAACCCUGAUAUCAAUGUUGAUGCAUCAGUUACAAGAACACCAAAGGCAGCAAAUAUCACCGGCUACUGGUCUGCCGCCACCCCCACCUUACACGAUAGAAGCGCCGGCGGCGCCCCCCGUGGAACCCAACGAAUUGCCGCCCCCUUAUGUAGCACCACCCCCGUAUGCAAAAUAAACUAAGAUAUUAACCUCAAUAAA